rnacentral:piRNA from 3 species
CAGACUUUUAAUCUGAGGGUCCAGGG